rnacentral:piRNA from 1 species
UAGCCUGUCUUUGAUUCCAGGGCCCCUGCCU